GGUUUCCAUCAGGGCUUUCUCCCCACCAGAUGGAUCGAAUUGGGUGAUCAACCUAGGUAAGCUUCCUCUGGACUCUAAUGGAUUCAAGGGUUUUGCUGCUUUGUGAUGUUCUUCCUUGAUGCUGGACUUGUGGGAAGCAUCGGAUCAACUUCUUGGUGGAUUCUUAGUGAGCAUAUCACUGCCUCUUUACUUCUUGUAGCUGUUGGGGUCUUGAUUGAGAGGUGGGGAUCGAUUUAGGUGUAUUUGUAGCUGCUGGACAGUGGGGGUAGGGUUGUGGGGUACUGGAUUUGGCUGCUCUAUCUCAAGGACUACCUUGGGAGCUAUCGGGCAGAGGUUGUUGGAUUGGGAGCUACUGAAUUUCUGUUAAAACCUCAUGGACUUGGAUUCGGGACGAGCGUCUCAACGUGGGAUUUUCGGACACGAGCUACGUAUUAAGGCGGGU